rnacentral:pre_miRNA from 1 species
CUUGUACUCCCUCCGUUCCGAAUUAUUUGUCGCAGAAAUGGAUGUAUCUAGAACUAAAAAAUGUCUAGAUACAUCCAUUUCUACGACAAGUAAUUCCGAACGGAGGGAGUACCAG